rnacentral:rRNA from 1 species
AGAGCGAACGCUGGCGGCAGGCUUAACACAUGCAAGUCGAGCGCCCCGCAAGGGGAGCGGCAGACGGGAGAGUAACACGUGGGAACGUACCUUUCGGUUCGGAACAACCCAGGGAAACUUGGGCUAAUACCGGAUACGUCCGUAAGGAGAAAGAUUUAUCGCCGAAAGAUCGGCCCGCGUCUGAUUAGCUAGUUGGUGAGGUAACGGCUCACCAAGGCGACGAUCAGUAGCUGGUCUGAGAGGAUGAUCAGCCUCACUGGGACUGAGACACGGCCCAGACUCCUACGGGAGGCAGCAGUGGGGAAUAUUGGACAAUGGGCGCAAGCCUGAUCCAGCCAUGCCGCGUGGGUGAUGAAGGCCCUAGGGUUGUAAAGCCCUUUCGGCGGGAAGAUAAUGACGGUACCCGCAGAAGAAGCCCCGGCUAACUUCGCGCAGCAGCCGC